GCCCGCUUGCACGACCCGUCGAGGCGAUACAACACAACACUUUGCCCUUUCCUUCCUCAUCAUCUCCCAACCUCGUUCGUGAAACUGAACAUGCUCUCCAACCGUCGCAUCUGGCGGAACCUAGGGCAUCGGCGGCGGACGGAACUGGUAGUGUGAUCCCAUGGUUGGUGAUUUGGUACGAGGAACAAACAUGCUAGGAGAGGCGAGUUGUUCCUCACCGAAGAGAAGAGAGAAGAUGAGUACGGACAGAAAUUUGGCGAUUUUGGUACAAGGGACGACCAACAGAGGAGCUCAGCGACCCAUACACGAGUUUUGGGAGAAGACAGUAUAUGCUUCAAUCCUCUAGCCACGUGCUUUGAAGGCCAACCGCAUGGAAGCACCACUGCGCCCAAUCUCUUCUCCGCCGCCUCCAUCUUGCCUUCGCCUGCUCUCCCUGCGUAAGAAAAGCCUCGGUGCAUUCGCCCGCCUACUCCUUGGACGAUGGAGAUGCUCGAGCGCUGGAUUCGGAGCGGGGGCCUAUGGGUGUCGCCACGCGCCCAGUCGCAUCCCCGAUCCUGCUCGCCAUUCACCUCUAAUGCGAGUUUGGGGGAGGAUGUCAUGAGAAGCGGUUCAUUAAGCAGCUCAAGCCAUGGCCCUUGAUUUUCCUGCUGCUGAAAUCGAAGUACUUCGAUGGCAAACACCGUCCACUCCAUGGUAAUUUCCUAAAAAAAUAGUGGAGCUCGUCAUGGUGGUGACCUGCGUGACCAGUACAAAAAAUAUUUUGUAUCGGACAUGGAGGAGCAGCAGGACCUUGAGUGAGAAACCAGUUUGCAAGAAGGACAUGACUUUUUUUAAGCAGGGGUCAAGUACUGUAGAUUGGAAGACUGCAUUGAGGCUUCCAGUUAAACAAGUACUUGACAGGCUUUGUGUUCGAAGGUUGACAAGGUGAUGGAUGAGUUACUGCCUUACUGGUGAAGCAGCGUAAAUAAAUAAAUCUCAGGUUGCGAAUGUGAUGGAUGAGUUACAGGUGAAGCAGCGAAAAUAAUUUAUCCCUCUUUAUUCUUUCUCCGUCUGGUGAUUCUUUGUUAACUGUUCACCUGAAACUUUCAGACUCCAUGGUUGUAUGCAAUUGUUUUUGUGGGCAAGUGUAUAUUUAACAAUCAUGAGGUUUGUGUCAGAACUCUCUUAUCAUCAAGGUAGAUAAUUUUCUUUGCUCCAUUUCUCACUACUAGAUUUUUUCUUGAACAACUAGAGACACGUGCACUGCUGACUAGACUUUGCAGUAUGCUACACUAAGAAUCCAAGAACAGUAAAAUAAAGCUUUUUUGUAUUUUUUACCAUCAGCAAUAUAUUCUAAAAGGUGACACAUUUCUCAAGCACUUACGGGUAUUUUCUAUGCUGAUGGAAGAGUAGCAUCCUUAGCGGAUGAAAAUCGUGUGUUGUUUCAAUUUUAUGCAAUGUUUACUAUUUCCAAUUUAAUCAAGUGACAGCACAGCAGGAGCGGGUGUAAAGUACAGAGACGGACAAAGAGGCACAUAACAGAAAGGGUGAGAAGAACUAAUGCAGUGAUGGUCGCGGAAUCCAAAGGGGCCUUGUGUGUGAUUAUCAUUGUAAAGGGUGGAUGGAUGACGAGGGUGGUGAUUGUGGCGACACAUUCCAAAACUACACAUUCUCAUCACUCAUUCUGAUCACUUUCUAAGUCCUAUUUUUGUUGCGCA